GGGAAAACAGUGUGCGGAGAGGGCAAUGCAACUUUCACGGGUUGUGAGAAGUUUGUGGGCUGGAAAGGUUAUCAAUGCAGUCUCCGCCUCAACAAGACACCUGGGACUAACCUGAGUGCCUGGAUCCCUGUCACAGCAGCUGAGCACGUGGGUCGCUGCAUUCUUGAGGAACAAACCACUGCUAGUGUAUGAAAAGCAUUUUAAGCAUGCAGAACUCUCAAAGAAAAAAAAAUGCUUAGUGUUUAUACAAGAAGCCUUCCAGAAGUUAUGGAAAGGAGGAAGUACCUAGCCCCGGACUUAUCGCAUACCUGGUAGUUACACAUAUUUGCGGAAUACAUAGCAAUUUACAUCAUCCAAAUCUUCUUCUGUCUGGUCUCCCACAGACCCUGAGAAUUGUUAUUUCUAAAAAAAAAAAAAA